AUCAAAGUUAUGUGCUAAUGACAUUAUAGUGCCACCAGUUAACUUACUGCUUUUCUCCCUUCCACAAGCAGGUUCGCCUCUCCUUCCUAACCCAAACAGUCACAUUCGCCAGCUGCCAAGCAACUACUGAAAAUCUAAGAAUGCUCAGAUGAUAAUUACUGAAGCAUCAUGAUACGUAUCAUUCACAAUAUAAACAUUUUGGCCUCCUUGACCUCAAAAUAAAGCUACAUCAUGCACUGCAGGGAAUCACAUCAAGUUACAGGUAUUACACAUCCAUCAGUGCAGAGGAAGGAAGUCAGGGCAGGGGCAGGGGUAAGGAAAAUUUAUAUUUUUAUACUAUUCCAUGGUAUAUUUCACAACAAGUAGGUAUUUACUCCAAAACUACAUUUUCAAAAAGUAGUACCUAUAAUAUGUCAUACAACUAGGUAAUUUUUCCUUCAACUUCACCUUCCAUACUAAAUGGGGGUUAAGGAGCAGAGAAAGUGCAGCUUGUAAGUUUAGAGAAUACUGGAGGAAAAAUAUGCAAGGAAAAAUCUCUCUCCAAAUUAUCUCUUGCUUUGCUCAAAAAAUAUAA